rnacentral:lncRNA from 1 species
CUGUCACAGGUAAAGCUGAAUUUCAAUUUAUUUAAAGUUUGAUCAUCCCAAAUAUUCAAAAUGUUAGGCUGCGUGAACUCAGCUUGGGGCUGUGAAGGGACAGCCGUAUAUCUUGUCACCGAGGGCCACCGCAAUGGGGAGCUGCACCUGACACAUUUACAUUUCACAAAGAUAUCCUGGCUGAAGCGGCAGCAUCGCACUCUCAAAGGGAACAGCGAGACCACACCGGGGAAGGCAGAGUUGUCAGGUCCACGGGAGGAGAGUCCCGGCCCCAACACGCUCUCCUGCCUGAGAUGCCUGAAGAGCUGGAGGCUGUUAGAAGGCAACGAACCAAACAUUCUCCCAGGAAACACUAACUUGGGAAACUCCAUUAAAAACCACCUGAGUGAAUCAGGAAAUGGUUAAGAGGUGACUGAGAUGAUGAUAAAACUAUCAUUACCAGUCUUUCUUCACACUAAAUACCUGCUUUCGGAAGCUUGAAUUUUAUGAUGCAACUUGCCAGGCUCAGUAACAACAAUGGUUUGUGUUACUUCCUAGGUACACAAUAGCUAGACUGUAGAACUGACUGUAGAAAUUAGCAACUAUCUCAGACAAAUACAUGACGAUUAUACUGAUAGAACAACAUUCACCUUAGCCGCAGAGAGCAUGAGACAUUGACUCAGGCAGACUGACUCUCUCCACGCACCCAAGGCUGAAUG